AGCGAAAUUCCUUGUCGGGUAAGUUCCGACCUGCACGAAUGGCGUAAUGAUGGCCAGGCUGUCUCCACCCGAGACUCAGUGAAAUUGAACUCGCUGUGAAGAUGCAGUGUACCCGCGGCAAGACGGAAAGACCCCGUGAACCUUUACUAUAGCUUGACACUGAACAUUGAGCCUUGAUGUGUAGGAUAGGUGGGAGGCUUUGAAGUGUGGACGCCAGUCUGCAUGGAGCCGACCUUGAAAUACCACCCUUUAAUGUUUGAUGUUCUAACGUGGACCCGUGAUCCGGGUUGCGGACAGUGUCUGGUGGGUAGUUUGACUGGGGCGGUCUCCUCCUAAAGAGUAACGGAGGAGCACGAAGGUUGGCUAAUCCUGGUCGGACAUCAGGAGGUUAGUGCAAUGGCAUAAGCCAGCUUGACUGCGAGCGUGACGGCGCGAGCAGGUGCGAAAGCAGGUCAUAGUGAUCCGGUGGUUCUGAAUGGAAGGGCCAUCGCUCAACGGAUAAAAGGUACUCCGGGGAUAACAGGCUGAUACCGCCCAAGAGUUCAUAUCGACGGCGGUGUUUGGCACCUCGAUGUCGGCUCAUCACAUCCUGGGGCUGAAGUAGGUCCCAAGGGUAUGGCUGUUCGCCAUUUAAAGUGGUACGCGAGCUGGGUUUAGAACGUCGUGAGACAGUUCGGUCCCUAUCUGCCGUGGGCGCUGGAGAAUUGAGGGGGGCUGCUCCUAGUACGAGAGGACCGGAGUGGACGCAUCACUGGUGUUCGGGUUGUCAUGCCAAUGGCACUGCCCGGUAGCUAAAUGCGGAAGAGAUAAGUGCUGAAAGCAUCUAAGCACGAAACUUGCCCCGAGAUGAGUUCUCCCUGACUCCUUGAGAGUCCUGAAGGAACGUUGAAGACGACGACGUUGAUAGGCCGGGUGUGUAAGCGCAGCGAUGCGUUGAGCUAACCGGUACUAAUGAACCGUGAGGCUUAACCUU
rnacentral:rRNA from 1 species